rnacentral:rRNA from 1 species
UGAAGAAGGUCUUCGGAUUGUAAAGCUCUUUCGGUGGGGACGAUGAUGACGGUACCCACAGAAGAAGCCCCGGCUAACUUCGUGC